rnacentral:lncRNA from 1 species
UCUGAAUCCCACUGGAUUGGGCUGGGGAUCGGACUAACUCCACUUCCCCUCCCCGCCAGGGAUGGGGCCAACAGUUUUCCUCAAUCCUUCCACGUGCUGGGUGCGUCCUGCUGUCGUUCUCAGACGACGCCUGCCCUGCGGGCAUCCCUAGGGGCUAAUGGGUUCAGCCCGACCGCCUUAGCGUCCCCAACAUCAGACUCGAGUUUGCCAGGCACUCAAGGUUAGGCUGCCUGUUACUUCGUGUGACCACGGAUGUGAAAAUCUACCCAAAACAAAGGUGCCCACAAAUGGCUACCGGAGGGAGCAGCUGAGACCUGCGCCCUCCCCACCUCCUCCCUUUGACCUCCGUGCGCUGGGGAACACAUGCCCUGCAUGCCCCACUCGUUUGGUGCUCCCUCCAGGCGCUCCUCACACAGGCCCCGUUAGGACUCGGCUGCCUGGGACUGAGGUCCCACCUCCUCUCCCCUUCGCCGCCCCCCACCCUGCGCCCACCCCUGGGCUGGUCCCUGCCUGCUCUGGCCCACGUUGCCACCAAGCUUAUGUAGGAGAAAACCCAGCGGAGGGUGGCCUGGGAAGGCGGGAGGUUUCCCGGCCCAUUCAAACGGCAGCCCAGCAGUAACAGUAAAACCGCAUCAGCGGCGGCGGGUGAGAUGCCUGUGGCGGCUUUUUAAAAGGCGUGGAAGGCCAAGGAGGGGCUGGGGAGUGACCCAGAGCCCGAGGGCUGUGCUGUUUAUCUUCUGGGACCGAGCCUGGGAAAAGCCCCGGUGUAACACCAAGAGACAGUGCCUUGGCAGUGUCACCGGAGCAAUGAGGAGCCAUCCUUCUUCCUUCAAAGCCCCUCUUCUGCUUAUUUACAACUUCAAGUUUAUAUUUCAAAUCUUGAUGCUUAGUUGUUGUUAUUUUUUUUAAAAAGUAGAACAUUUACCAAUGUGUUUAGAAUUAUUUUUGUAUGUUCCCUAUUACUGUUGUUUGUAGGAUUUUCUUCUCCUUUUUGUCUUUUCUUUCUCCCCUCCUGCAGUAUUGGCAACCCCAUAGGAAGAGCUUUAGUGGGGAGGGUGAAAUUGACCGGUUCAUUCUUACUAUCACAAAAAGCAGCAUAAACACUGUCUCUCCAUUCUUAAUAUAAUCCUUUAAAAAAAUGAAGCAAACAGCCACUUAGGCAGGAACCGGUUAAGACUGAGAAACGGCUAAUACUAGGACACUAGCUAAUCCUGUCUCUUUAAGAAAAAUCCAUAAAGC